AUCACCCUUUCGGGUGCGAUUCUGUGGAGUGUGAGGAGCUUAACACCUUCAUGCUUUGCAUAUUUGUGCUCUUGGGUGUACUUGCCCGUGUGGUUGGUUAACAUCCAUUUUGGUGGUCAAAAAAUGACUGGAGGAAUGUAGCUUCGAUCUCGUAUUGAAGUGUUAUAGCCUUCGGUAGAUGUGAUGAUCGAGAUUGAGGAUUGCAACGGAUACCCUUCGGGGCUACCUGUCUGGUCUCUGAUCGUUGCUCUGGUGCCGAAAGCUUGCUUACGGUUAUCAAAGUCGAUGGUCAAUAGGUUAGAACGGGUUAAAUUCGUUAAGGAUGUUGACGUAAUGGCUUU
rnacentral:rRNA from 1 species